UAUUUGUAGAAUAUAGCAAAUUAUACCAUUGAUGAAUCACAGAACAAUAUAGAAAGCUGAUUACAAACUUCAGUAACGAAACAUGCAUGCAUGCAUAACAAUAUAUUUAACCUAAGCAUUGGGAACAAAUAGAUAGUGGUUACAACGAACAGAAAACCUACCUAAUUAAAAAAAAUAACAAAGCAGUAGAAAGGAAAAAACAGACAUGAUAAGUUUUGAGCGACGCAACUGAUGUAGUUUAUUUCAAAUGCAUAUGUACUAACUGUUUGUUAAUGGCCAACUCCAGGACUGUGGCCAGGAGUUGUAGGCCUAAAAGCUUCAACAUCUCCCGUAAGGCUUCUAAUGAUACGGUAGCUUUGGCUUGCAAUAGCCCUUUUUGCUGUGCUUGUUACAAUGCUCAUUGCCUUGUUUGCAUCCGGUGACUUAAUGCUUUGUCUCAAACUCCUUCCCUCAGUACCGAGUAGUUCAUGGGACAAAACCAAGGCUACAAACAACACGCAAAUGUGAGUGAGACGAGCCAUGAAUAAUGUGAGAAUGUGAAAGUAAAGAAACGAAGACAAAAGAAGCCGAUUUCAAGGGCUGAAGAUGGC
rnacentral:sRNA from 1 species